UACGGAGGGUGCGAACGUUAAUCGGAAUCACUGGGCGUAAAGCGCGCGUAGGCGGUCUGUUAAGUGGGAUGUGAAAUCCCCGGGCUUAACCUGGGAAUGGCAUUUGGGACUGCAAGGCUCGAGUGCGGCAGAGGAGACUGGAAUUCCUGGUGUAGCAGUGAAAUGCGUAGAUAUCAGGAGGAACACCGAUGGCGAAGGCAGGUCUCUGGGCUGACACUGACGCUCAUGCACGAAAGCGUGGGGAGCAAACAGG
rnacentral:rRNA from 1 species